GUGCCAGCAGCCGCGGUAACACGUAAGUUGCGAGCGUUGUUCGGAAUUAUUGGGCGUAAAGGGCAUGUAGGCGGUUUUGCAAGCUUGAUGUGAAAGGCAGGGGCUCAACCCCUGGACUGCGUUGAGAACUGCAUGACUAGAGUCGCUGAGGGGCAAUCAGAAUUCCAGGUGUAGGGGUGAAAUCUGUAGAUAUCUGGAAGAAUACCAAUGGCGAAGGCAGGUUGCCAGCAGAUGACUGACGCUGAGGUGCGAAGGUGCGGGGAGCAAACAGGAUUAGAUACCCUGGUAGUCCGCACAGUCAACUAUGUACACUGGAUGUCUGGAAUAAAAUCUGGGUGUCGAAGCAAACGCGAUAAGUGUACCGCCUGGGGAGUAUGCCCGCAAGGGUGAA
rnacentral:rRNA from 1 species